UAGUAUAAAAAUGCGCAGAGACGUUCCAAGUUCAUUAGACAUCAUUUCACUUCCCACACCUCAACAUAAUCACAAUAAUACAACAGUUUUCAACUGUCAGCAACACAAUAUUUACAAUGGAAUUCAAAUCGGCCUCAAUUCUCAUCGUUGUUUUGGCUUUGGGUCUCAACACCUGCUCAGCUUCGGAUUUUGCCGCCGCCCAACCAGACGAAAAUUCCAAGGUAGAUGGACAAAGACGACCAGUUGCGAUUGACGACGGCACCAUAAUUUCCCUCCAGGAAAACCCAAUCGCUCCGAAAUGUACGUACUGCGGGGGAUUUACUCACGCCGGAUGCAGUAAUCACUGCUACUGGUCCGGGUACCGGUGCUACAGCUGCAUUGCGCAUCCGUGUUAUUGCGUUUGCUCAAAUUCUGGGUGCUAGAUGUUUUAUUGGAAAAUGUUCUAAUAUUCAUAAUUUUCUACUAGUUAAUGGUCUACAUCUUAUGUAUAUAAAUGCAUAUAAUUAUUUGGAGAAAGCUUCCACCUUUUCAACUACAGUUACUAUUAGUUUUGUACAAAUUUAUACAAUCAAUUGCAUUAAAGCUUACAAUCAAAACUUUUCCCAAUUUUGUCGAGACAUACCUAGGUAUUUAUAUAUUCAUAGGUGCGAAGGCACUAUUGCACCUUGUAUUAAAAUAUAUUAAUAUAACGGAAUUUAUGGGAUCCAUCAGGAUAACAAUUUGUUGACGAAAUAAGUUGCAAAAAAGGUAUAUAAAUAAAUAGAUACUUACAUAUUUCAAA